AAAGUAAGGGAGUUUUAUAAAAAAAAAAAGAACACCCAAUCCCCCCAUUCCCUCGAAACCCUAGCCACUACUGUUCCCCCAUCCCUUCUCUUCCUUUCCCUUGCCCUUGCGCCGCCGCCGCUUUGCCUUCUCCUCGCCGGCGACGACGGCUUGCCCCUCGAGCUUUUUUGCCGUCCAUCACGCGAGGGUGGACGGGGGAGUUAACUUUUGGCUGCCCUCUACUGCCAUCCAAAAACCCUAGCCGCACCGAAGUCGCCGCCUCCUCACAAACUCCUCUGCGCGUUCUCCUUCGUCCAGGCGCUGCUGUGGUCGUUGGUGAAUCGUCGACGCCGUGGUGAACCUGCGGAGGGACCAGACCACGUGGGGCUCGGGGCGAGGUUUGGCCGUGACGCCUGUCGUCGCUUCGUCGCCCUCCCCCUGCCCAAUCUCUCCAUCUCUCUUCCCAGUUAAGCAGGGAGAGUGGUCAUGAUGCAGAACGAGGGCGAGAGGGUCGAUCUGCUGGCCCUGCCACUCGAUCCGUUCAAGUAGGGGUGGUGGUGAUGGAGAUCAACCAGGGCUGCUGGUGAUGGAGAACGACAACGAGGUGAUCGAUCUGCUGGCCUAUCGCUAGAUCCGGUGGGUACAUGCACUCAAGUUCGCCAUGAAGCCGAUGCAAUCCUUCUCCAUCUCCACAGUGGGUUGGCGCCCUUCUGCUCAAGUUUGAAGCUCCGCUGCCGUGCGGCGCCGACACUGUUUCGCAAUUGCAGAUCUGGCCAGCAACAGGUAAUCUGGGAACCAUCUGUCGUCGCCUAGCCAAGGGCCAUUUGCAAUUGCCUUGCCAUUGUUAUUUAUGGUGUAAUUUACUUAGGGGCAAUGGAUGUAUGCAACUUCAUCAUUAAUUGAGAAUCCAUAUGUAUAGGUAUUUUGGGAACCUUUUUUUUUUUUGCCUUUUCCUACUUCCACUUCAAUUUUACUAGGUGAUAUUUUAGUUCCACAAUGGUUCACCUUGAACUCUUUUUCUAAAUGACGAUCAUAUUUAACGAAACCUUCACUGCAUGUUCUGAUAUGAUUGCUCGCCAUCAUCUCAGCCACUAUCUCAAAUUGCUUAUUACAGUGGUCGGAGGUAUGAUAUUUUGCAUGCCUCUUACAAGUAGUGCUAUGGCCUAUGUAAAUGUCUGCAAGACUACAAGGAAUCUAUGAAUCUAUCCUGCUCUGCUGAGGGAUUCUUUAUUUUAGUACAGUAGAGAACUGAGAUCAGUGCAAAUCGAGAAUUCAGGCUCUAUUUCUGCUCCUUAACAUCAGAAUUGAAGUUAUGUGGCAGAUUGUGUUAGAACAAAAACCUUCAGAGAAGCUCAACAUUUACUAAUAGAAGUACGUUUUUGGACUUGUGAUGCUUCUGGUGAGGUUUUUGGACUAGACCAACCAAUAGCAUUUAGGUUGUUGGGCUCGGUGAGAUCAUUACAAGCACUUGAAGGUAACUCUGUUCUUCAUUUGGCCUUUAGGAUUUGAGAGGCAAAAAUCAUUGACUAAAAUUACAAACUGUAGGUGUGGCUAAGUAAUUGGAUGAUUCACUGUGGUGCUGAUGCAAGUCAGCAUUGGUAGUCUUUGAAGAUGCAGAAUGAACUCUACUAAUUUAGGGCUAAGCCAUGCUGAUUUAAACUGAUAUAUAUUUAGUGCUCCUAUAGCAAUUGGUGAAGAAAUUGUGUGGAAGUUUCUGUUACAAUGAUGAAAUUAAGAACAUGUUUGGUAAUAUAUAAAUACUAUAGAUUGGAUCUGAAACGUGUUGUGGUGAGCUAUGGCACAAAAUCCUCUUUCCAUGAAUUGAACACAUAAUGGUUAGAGGUCGGAGAUUAAUGAUAUGGCCUAUGCAAAUAUCUACCAAGAUUCCUACACCCAUCAUGCUCUGCUUAGGGACACUGCAAUUUGCUCCAGUAGAACUUGAAAUCAGUACAAACUGCUAAGUGGGCUAAUUGCUAUACUCUUUCACUUUCUACACAAUUUUCUUUGGUGAUUGACAUUACAUUUUUUAUUUGUUCUUCGAAAGAAAAAUGAACCUUUCAGUUCCUUUCCAUGCUGAAAUUUCAUACAUUGAGUGCCAGUUACUCCAAAAGAGCUGAAUGCGUGGAGCCACAAGGUUGCAGGCAGGUCAAUAUACUUUGGAGCUGUGAUCUGUUGCUCUGUAGAUCCUGUGCAGUCAGAGGUUUGGUUUGCUUUGUAAGGACGAAUUGAUUUUUUGAAACUAGAAACUCAAGUGAAUUUGGCACACACCAUUAUAUUGUUCUUAUUUUGCAUCUGAUUUUGAGGUGAAGUUCACUUGGUCAGUUAAGUUAUAGCCACCAAAGGUUCCAUAUCAGAUUCCACAUAUCUAAAUGCUCAUUUAUAUUACAUGAAAUACUUCAUGAACCAUUUGUGCAUUUUGUAGGUUGUACAACUGGAACCUUCCAUCCCAUAAUUAUGGAUAUGAAUUGGUAAAUAACUCUGUAAAUUAAAGAAAAAAUUCCUUUUAAGCUUUUGUACAUAACUCUGUAAAUAUUUUCGUGUCAAAAAUUACAGAUGGUGAUAGAGAAAUUAUAUACAA